ACAUCGUUUUCACGUUUGAAGAAAAUGGGGUGCUUUCGUAAAUUCUCUCUGGCUAUCUUCUCGUCUGAGUGUACCAGAGCGCAGAAUAAUGAAUUUACGAGCGUUCAACACCCGUUGAAUUUGGCCGGUUUUAUGUAAAAGGCAUAAAAGUUUUGCCAGCAGCACAGUUAGUCACCAACGCUCUGGAUAACAAACUGCCUAACCAACUCUGCUAGGGAAACAAAGAAGAUGUACCGAUGUAUACAUUAAGACCCUCAAAAUUUCACAGAUGCACAAUUGAGAGCAUCCUGUCGGGCUGUAUCACCGCCUGGUACGGCAACUGCACCGCCCGCUUCCGCAGGGCUCUCCAGAGGUUGGUGCGGUCUGCCCAACACUUCACCGGGGGCACACUGCCUGCCCUCCAGGACACCUUCAGCACCCGAUGUCACAAGAAGGCCAAAAAGAUCAAGGACAUCAACCACCCGAGCCACAGCCUGUUCACCCCACAAUCAUCCAGUUGGCGAGGUUAGAACUGGUGCAUCAAAGCUGGGACCGAGAGACUGAAAAACAGCUUCUAUCUCAAGGCCAUUAGACUGUUAAAUAGUCAUCACUAGCUGGCUACCACCCGGUAACUCAACCCUGUACCUCAGAGGCUGCUGCCCUAUAUACACAGACAUGGAACACUUGCCUUGAUGCCAGCUUUGCACACUCAUUGCAUUCUCUCAACCAGCUUCAUGAGGUAGUCACCUGGAAUGCAUUUCAAUUACUUUAAUAAUGUUUACAUACUGCUUUACUCAUUUCAUAUGUAUAUACUGUAUUUUAGUCAAUGCCACUGACAUUGCUCAUCCUAAUAUUUAUAUAUUUCUUAAUUCCAAUCUUUUACUUUUAGAUGUGUGUAUUGUUAGAUACUACUGCACUGUUGGAGCUAGGAGCACAAGCAUUUCGCUACACCUGCAAUAACAUCUGCUAAAUGUGUAUAUGACCAAUAACAUUUGAUUUGAUUUGAAGCCCUACAUCAGGGAUCAUCAACUAGAUUCAACAGCAGGUCAAUGUCUUCUUGAGCGGAUGGUCGGGGGGCGGAACAUAAUCACCAAUCAUUUGUAGACUGCAAAUUGAUCAAGAAGACUAAACAGAUAUACACUGAGUACACAAAACAUUAAGAAUACCUACUCUUUCCAUGACAUAGACUGACCAUGUGAAAGCUAUGAUCCCAUAUUGAUGUCACUUGUUAAAUCCACUUCAAUCAGUGUAAAUGAAGGGGAGGAGACAGGUUAAAGAAGGAUGUUUAAGCCUUGAGACAAUUGAGACAUGGAUUGUGUAUGUGUGCCAUUCAGAGGGUGAAUGGGCAAGACAAAAGAUUUAAGUGCCUUUGAACGGGGUAUGGUAGGCUGCUGGGUUUUUCAUCCUCAACAGUUACCCAUAUGUAUCAAGAUUGGUUCACCACCCAAAGGACAUCCAGACAACUUGACAACUGUGGGAAGCAUUGGGGUCAACAUGGGCCAGCAUCCCUGUAGAACGCUUGACACCUUGUAGAGUAAAUGUCUGACAAUUUUAAGGUUUUCUGAGAACAAAAGGGGGUGGUGCAACUCAAUAUUCGGGAAAAUGUUCUCAAUGUUUGGUAUAUUCAAGUGUAUUUUGGAAUAAAACAAUCAUUUCAAACCUACCAUUUGUACAUGAUAACAUCUCUCUAUUAUGCGUGGGAAUACUUGAACAGAUUUACAAAAUUAAAAAUCACUUGGAGGUGAUUUCCUGGUUAUCAUCUUUCAUGUCCCACAAUGAAAAAAGACUAAAACAAAAAACGUGUUUUUUGUUUUUGCUCAAAACUUUGAGGGCCAAAUAAAACCAAUCGCUGCCAGUUGGGGAACCCUGACCUAUAUUAAGACCUAGAAGCUAUGGGUCCAUUACAACAAAAAAAGCUGAACUUCGCACAUACCACUGUGUUAACCAAUGAUAUGUAUAAACCCUGGAACGCUGAUACUAUCUAUUGUCCAAUGAGAGGCUUUGAAGCCACCAGUGGGCCAUAUUGGCACUCCCCAGAAGAAGCAGUUAUCCAUGUAUCUCACAUAAUAUAAUUUCAAAGUAUGAAUAUAAAUAGCACACAUAGAACAUAGAUAUAUACAGCUUCUCAGACUUUCUAUAACUCACAUUUCUAUGUGCAUUUGCCCAGGCUGCCCCAAAAGCUACCUAUUGCGACUUUAAUGGACUGCAUGAAACAAAUCAAAUAAGGAGUGGUAAUGAGGUGACCAAAAAUGGUUGCAAUUGAGAUUAGUUGUGCCGGUAAAUUCAUCACAAGAGCUCAUGAGAGAUCAGCUGCCGAUAUCUGGUCACCAUCGAUGGUUGUAAUAGGCCCCCAUAUGUUUCCAUAUUGGCCACAUAUGUUUCCAAAGGCUGUGUUUACACAGGCAGACCAAUUCUGAUCUUUUUUCACUAAUUGGUCUUCUGUUCCAAUUAGAUCAGCCCUGAAAAAGAUCUGAUGUGAUUGGUCAAAAGACCAAUUGGUGGAAAUAAAUAUUUGAAUUGGGCUGCCAGUGUAAAUGCAGCCAUGCUGAUCAUAUAACUUUUUUUUUUACUGACCAAUGAGAAUGUAAAUGUUAUGUAAGUGGAAAGUAUAAAAGGCUGGUUGAGACUCAUGUAUGUUGACAUUGUAUGCCGUUAAUUAAAGCCUUGAAUUGGA